ACGAACGCUGGCGGCAUGCCUAACACAUGCAAGUCGCACGAGACCUUCGGGUCUAGUGGCGCACGGGUGCGUAACGCGUGGGAACCUGCCCUUAGGUUCGGAAUAACUCCCCGAAAGGGGUGCUAAUACCGGAUAAUGUCUUCGGACCAAAGAUUUAUCGCCUUUGGAUGGGCCCGCGUUGGAUUAGCUAGUUGGUAGGGUAAAAGCCUACCAAGGCGACGAUCCAUAGCUGGUCUGAGAGGAUGAUCAGCCACACUGGGACUGAGACACGGCCCAGACUCCUACGGGAGGCAGCAGUGGGGAAUAUUGGACAAUGGGCGAAAGCCUGAUCCAGCAAUGCCGCGUGAGUGAUGAAGGCCUUAGGGUUGUAAAGCUCUUCUACCCGGGAUGAUAAUGACAGUACCGGGAGAAUAAGCUCCGGCUAACUCCGUG
rnacentral:rRNA from 1 species